UACAGAGGUCCCGAGCGUUGUUCGGAUUCACUGGGCGUAAAGGGUGCGCAGGUGGGUUGGCAAGUUUGAUGUGAAAGCCCCGGGCUUAACCCGGGAAUGGCAUUGAAUACUGCUGAUCUGGAGGAUCGGAGGGGGGACUGGAAUUCUUGGUGUAGCAGUGAAAUGCGUAGAUAUCUGGAGGAACACCGGUGGCGAAGGCGGCGUCCUGGACCAACACUGACACUGAUGAGCGAAAGCCAGGGGAGCAAACGGG
rnacentral:rRNA from 1 species